CCUACGGGAGGCUGCAGUGAGGAAUAUUGGUCAAUGGACGAGAGUCUGAACCAGCCAAGUAGCGUGAAGGAUGACUGCCCUAUGGGUUGUAAACUUCUUUUAUAAAGGAAUAAAACGAGGCACGUGUGCCUUUUUGCAUGUACUUUAUGAAUAAGGAUCGGCUAACUCCGUGCCAGCAGCCGCGGUAAUACGGAGGAUCCGAGCGUUAUCCGGAUUUAUUGGGUUUAAAGGGAGCGUAGAUGGGUUGUUAAGUCAGUUGUGAAAGUUUGCGGCUCAACCGUAAAAUUGCAAUUGAUACUGGCAGUCUUGAGUACAGUUGAGGUAGGCGGAAUGCGUGGUGUAGCGGUGAAAUGCUUAGAUAUCACGAAGAACCCCGAUUGCGAAGGCAGCUUACUAAACUGUGACUGACAUUGAUGCUCGAAAGUGUGGGGAUCAAACAGGAUUAGAUACCCUUGUAGUC
rnacentral:rRNA from 1 species